CCAGGUACAUUUGAUGUGCCCUGCAUAAUAGGUAAUAGCAAAUUUGAGAAUGCCAUGCUAUAUCUAGGUGCUUCUAUUAAUAUUAUGCAUAUGUUUGUUUUCAUGUCUCUUUCACUUGGACCUACGCAACCCACUGAGGUAGUGAUUCAAUUAGCAAAUAGGAGUACUGCUUACCCUACUGGUUUGAUAGAGGAUGUCUUGGUUCGGGUUGGUGAACUUAUUUUUCCUGCUGAUUUUUAUAUUCUCGAUAUGAAAGAGAGAUCCUCCCGUAACACAGUUCCUAUCAUUUUGGGGAGGCCAUUUUUUAGAACAUCCCGAACCAAGAUAGAUGUCCAUGUUGGAACAUUAUCUAUGGAGUUUGGUGAUAUUGUGGUCCGGUUUAAUAUUUUUCAAGCUAUGAAGCAUCCAUCUGAGGACCAUUAUGUGUUUCAUAUUGAUUUACUUGAUGAAUUAACUAAUGAUCAUAUCUAUGAUUUUCUUAAUGAUUUUGAUUCUAUGUCAUUGAUAGACUCAUCCACUUAUCAUACAUGCACUGAUUCUGAAAUGUGUAAUUCUUGUAUUGAUGAGUUUCUGCAUAUUUAUGUUGAUCCAAAUGUGGUAGAAUCAUAUUGCACUAACCCAAUUGUUGCAGAUAUCAUACAGCAAUCUGAUUUACUUGUCCAUGUACAAGCUGCAUAAUCUAUAUCUGCUACUUUGGUUCCAUCUGUUUUGCAGGCACCUGUAUUGGAGCUUAAACCUUUGCCUGAAAACCUCAAGUAUGCUUACUUAGAGGAUGAUNNNNNNNNNNNNNNNNNNNNNNNNNNNNNNNNNNNNNNNNNNNNNNNNNNNNNNNNNNNNNNNNNNNNNNNNNNNNNNNNNNNNNNNNNNNNNNNNNNNNGAGCAUUUUCAGUGACUUUUUAGAGAAUUGCAUAGAGGUGUUUAUGGAUGAUUUUACAGUUUAUGGAUCUUCAUUUGAUGCAUGUUUGUAUAGUAUGGAUAGAGUUCUUCAUAAAUGCAUCGAAACUAACCUUGUUCUAAAUUACGAAAAAUGUCAUUUCAUGGUAGAGCAAGGCAUAGUUUUGGGGCAUGUGAUCUCAAAUAGGGGAAUCGGGGUAGACCCUGCCAAGAUAGAUGUUAUUUCACAAUUGCCUUACCCCUCUUGUGUGCGAGAGGUUCGUUCUUUUCUUGGUCAUGCAGGUUUCUAUCGCAGGUUCAUUAAAGAUUUUAGCAAGAAAGCUCUUCCAGUAUCCAACCUAUUGCAAAAGGAUGUGGUAUUUGAUUUUGAUGAGAGAUGUAUGGAGGCAUUUGAUUGCCUCGAGACAGCCUUGACCACCACCCCUAUUAUCCAUGCACCUGAUAUGACAGUCCCUUUUGAGCUGAUGUGUGAUGCUUCUAAUUAUGCAUUGGUGGUUGUCCUUGCUCAGAAAGUGGACAAACUGCCUAGGGUAAUUUAUUAUGCUUCUAGGACUUUAGAUGAUGCACUAGCAAAUUACACCAGAACUGAAAAAGAGCUUUUAGCUUUUGUAUUUGCUCUGGAUAAGUUUAGGUCUUAUUUGCUUGGUUCUAGAAUUGUUGUUUUCACUGACCAUGCAGCUUUGAAGUUCCUAUUGAAGAAAGUUGAUUCUAAACCAAGGUUGAUUAGAUGGAUGCUCUUGCUCCAAGAGUUUGAUUUGGAGAUCCGUGAUAGGAGUAGAGCACAAAAUUUGGUGGCUGACCACUUGAGCAGGAUUGANNNNNNNNNNNNNNNNNNNNNNNNNNNNNNNNNNNNNNNNNNNNNNNNNNNNNNNNNNNNNNNNNNNNNNNNNNNNNNNNNNNNNNNNNNNNNNNNNNNNUUCUUUUGGCUUUUACUAUAUUCUACUUUAUGUUGAUUAUGUUUCUAAAUGGGUGGAAGCUAAGGCCACCAGGACUAAUGAUGCUCGGGUUGUUAUGGAUUUUGUUAGGUCUCACAUUUUUUGCAGGUUUGGCAUACUCAUAGCCAUCGUUAGUGACCAAGGCACCCACUUUUGAAAUAGAUCCAUGCAAACUAUGCUCAAGAAAUAUGGGGUUGUUCAUAGAGUUUUCACACCUUAUCACCCCCAAUGUAAUGGGCAAGCUGAGAUUUCAAACAGAGAGAUAAAGCGGAUUUUGGAGAAGAUGGUACAGCCUAACAAAAAGGAUUGGAGCAACAGACUUGAGGAUGUUCUUUGGGCACAUAGGACUGCUUACAAGGCACCCAUAGGGAUGUUCCCUUACGGGUUGUUUUUGGUAAAGCAUGUCAUAUUCCUGUAGAGAUAGAACAUCGUGCAUACUGGGCUGUGAAAACUUAUAACUUGGCUCUCGAUCAAGCUGGUGAAGAAAGAAAGCUCCAAUUGAAUGAACUCAAUGAGAUCCGCUUAGAAGUCUAUGAAAACUCUACGUUCUAUAAAGAGAAGACCAAAAGAUUCCAUGAUAACUUGAUUUCUAGNNNNNNNNNNNNNNNNNNNNNNNNNNNNNNNNNNNNNNNNNNNNNNNNNNNNNNNNNNNNNNNNNNNNNNNNNNNNNNNNNNNNNNNNNNNNNNNNNNNNAGGUUUCUAGUUUUUGUGAUCUUCUUGCAUGACUCACUUUGGUGCAAAUUGGUUAGCAUAACAUUAUUUCUUGAUUUUGCCCAGGAGUGCAAAAGGUUAAGUGUGGGGGUAUUUGAUGAGCAAUAUAUUACACACUAUCCAUAACCUUAAAUUAGAAUGAUUGAUGAUUCUUGGUGCCUAAUUGACUUUGUUUCACAUGGUUUAGUGUUUUAGACUUUAUUGGACUAAUAUUCCUAAAAUGAGUUAAUUUGAGAUUAUUGUUUAGGCCCAACUCGGUUUAUGUGUGUUGGAGGGGUGAAAUUCGGAUUCCCCACUCCAAACACACCCAAUUCACUUCACUUUGCCUCAUUUUGAAACACAAAGACAUUUUCGUUUUCCCUCUUUUUGCUCUGCUAGGGUUUCACCCCUUCUUGAUUUAUCAUUUUCGGUUUGUUCUUCCAUUGCCAUGGAAGGCUAAAUUUCUGAACUAAGUUCCUUUGGUAAUGUAUCACAACUCUUGAGGUUUUGUUAUUAAUGCAUUUUCGGUUUCUUUAUUGUUGAUUUCUUCUAUCUUAUUUCUGAAUAUGGUUUGAUUAAUGUCAUUGUUUAGAAACUGGUUUGUUGAGUUUAUCUUCACUUAGUUGAUUUACUCUCUCUAGUGCAUGAAUGCUUAGUUCGUGUGAAUUUGUUAAUCGUUUCAUGCUUAUACUGAUUUCACCUAGUUUGAGGUUUAGGUUCUGGAACUUUGAAUUGAUUAUCGUUUAGUUAAUUGAUUCUCAACAAAUUCGGAAGUCAAUGGAUUGAAUCUGAAAAUAAUCUUUUGAAAUUGAGGAUUGAGUUGUGAAGAAACGAACCAAGCCGUUUUAUUACAUUGCUUAACUACUGUUUCUGAAUUUGAUUUAUGUUCAUACUAUCCAACAACAAAAAACCCCUUGUGUGUGUGAGUAUAAGGUGUUUGAAGCUUUGCUUGAAAGAUAAUCCUUGGGAAGCGACCUAGGAGUCACUUCCUAGUACUGCAGUUUUAAUUGUUAUAUUAUUUGUAUCGGGUACGGCCUCGAUCAAAUUUGGCCCAGUAACAACUAUUGCUGGAAUUCCCGACAUCAAAAUAAAGCAUCCAGCCACUAAAUUUCAUGAAUCCAUGGAUUAAUAAUGUUUGAAUGAUGUGUUCCUUUAAUUUUUCAAACUUGGAAAAUAAUAUUUUUUUUUUUUUUUGAAGGAGAUUUCAUUAAUUUUUGUCUUUUUAGUGAUGCCAAAUUUAGGGAUGACAAAAAUAUUUGUUCAGUGGGUACUUCCUACAUUACUCGUAAAGGGUAUCUAUAAAAUAUUUUAUGGAUGAGAACAUGUAUUAUAAUAUUUGUUGUGCAGGUACUUGCAUAUUUAUAAAUAUAUUUUUAGUUAAAUAUUAUAUAUAUAUUAAAUAUUUUUUAUAAGUAUUAUCUAUUUUAUUAUUAUUUUAUAAUGAAUUUCAGUGAUUAAAAUGUAAUAAUAUAUUUUACGUGUCAUAAAAUUUAUUAUUCAUGUAAUAAUUAUUUUACAUAUUGAUUAUUACACAAUAUAUAAAUAUAUAUUUAAACUUAUAAAUUUAUUGGAGACCCACUUAUAUUUGUUACUUGCAUGAGGACUCAUUAAUAAUACGAGCAUGAGUAUAGGAAAGUAUCAUUCAUACUCGUUCCACCCGUUGCCAUUCCUAUACAACUCUUUAUUAUCUUGUCUAAAUGCACUAAUUUUGUAAACCAAGUUUUAGAAAACAUUAAUAUAUGCAUCGAGAACAUUUAAAGUUGAAAGAAAAGGAUAUAUACAAUGACAAUAUAUGAGUUUUAUAUACUGUUAUUACAUUAUACACCAUUGAUACUUAAUUAUCGUUACUUUUUAAAAAAGUAAUUCAAAUGAAUGGUGGAUGAUGAAACGCAUGUAUAUAAAUUUUUACAUUAUCCGUGCAUAGAUUUUACACUCUUGAAUAUAAUUAUCUGAUAAUAAUGUAAUCAUUGUUAAAUUCUAAGUUUACAAUAGUUCUUAUGUUCAACUCUGUUGAUUAAAGAUAUGUCUUUAACUACUUUGAUUAAAUUUACAUAGUACCAGAACUACAAAUUGUUACAUGGCAAAAACAUAUAGAAUCACAUAAUUGUAACUAUUGACUAGUUUAAGAGUAAUAUGAAAGCUAAACUUUUAUAGGAGUUAUGUUCUCCUUCAAAAUAUCACAUUACAUCAUUGUGGCUUUUUCUUUUAAUCAAAAGUUAAGAUUUUACUUUUAAUCAUCUUUCUGCCUGCAUACAUUGAGGUUGCAAGUUUCUCUGCCUGCAUACAUUGAGGCUGCAAGUUGCUCUGUUUUUCAACUUCAACCUGAUCAUAUCAAGCCAUUCUUGAUUCUUUUUGUAUAAGUGAUUUAGCAGUAGAACUCUUAGCCUUUUUGGCACGUGAUUAAUAUGUUUAGUGUGUUAGUUAUUAGUUAGUUUGCUUGUUAAGAAGUUGUUUUUCUGUUACUUCUUUUCCAAGCAAACUUCAUUCGGUUAGCAAGCUAUAAAUACAAAUGUUUGCUGGUUUUGUAAACACACUUUGAAUAAUCAAUACAAUUCAAUACAUUUUUACAUUCUCUCCUCAUUAUGAAGUCUUUUAUGGUAUCAGAGCUCUCCAAGUGAGAGCUCUGCUGCUAAAUCAUUUACACAUCUCCAUCUUCUUGCCAAUUCUUCACAUCUUGUUCACAAGAAAACUCACAAACAUGGACGCUGAAUCAGAUCAAACACAGCAUACAUACCAGAAUCCAGAUGCAACACAAAAUCCCUAUUACUUACAUCCUCGUGAAUAUCUAGGCUUUACUUUGGUAUCUCCUCCCAUUGAUGGAGGAAAGUACCAAUCAUGGUCAAGAUCAAUGAAAAGGGCACUUAGUUCGAAGAAUAAGUUCAAGUUUGUUAAUAUAACAAUACAAGUUCCUCAUCAAUCAGACCAGAUGUAUGAUGCUUGGGAGAGGUGCAACAACAUGGUGAUAUCUUGGAUCACAAGAUCACUAACACAGCAGAUUGCUCAAAGCAUCGUGUAUAUAUAAAAUGCACAAGAAUUAUGGGAUGACCUUAGGGAACGAUUUUCUAAGGGAGAUCACUUUAGGACAUCCGAUCUACUCCAAGAAAUUCAUUCAAUGAAACAGGGUGAAAGGAACGUAUCUGGAUUUUACACAGAUAUGAAGACAGUUUGGGAGGAACUAGAAUCUCUAAGGCCUCUUCCAACAUGUUCUUGCCCUGUAAGAUGUAGUUGCGGCAUGUCUAAAACUAUAAGAAAUUAUAGAGAAUAUGAAUAUAUCAUAUGUUUUUUGAAAGGCCUUAGUGAACAAUUUGACACUGUGAAGGCUCAGAUUCUUCUCAUGGAGCCUAUGCCAUCCAUCAACAAGGUGUUCUCAUUAGUCUUGCAGCAAGAAAGGCAACAUGAGGGUCUAGGGUAUGACAACAAAAGGAUAAUCAAUUAUGUGAAUUCAACUCAGCCAUGGAAGAAUCAAGCAAACAGAAAUUCUGGUAGAUCAAACACAAACUUCAACAAUAGAAAGAAAUACCAAGGAAGUGGUUGGACAUCUACUUAUCCUAAGCCCUCUGGUGCAAAUAGCAACAAUAAAGUCUGCAGUUUUUGUGGAAAGGAUAGGCACACUGUAGAAACAUGUUACUUCAAGCAUGGGUUCCCUCCAAAUUUCAAGUUCAAGGCUAAGCAAGAAGAUGGAUCAAUGAACAACAUUCAUACUGAUCAUGAAGCAAGAGAUAAGAGGCAAGAAACAAGUCACAUGGACAUAAGCAUAGAGCAAACAGAGCAACCUCUACACAUCAGCAACAACCAUCAGCACAAGAUUAACCAAGUUAGCCAAGAUCACCACAGUAAUGACAAUCCUACUAUGUCAGGUACAAUCCUUAACACUCAAACUUGGAUCCUUGAUAGUGGUGCCACUGAUCAUGUCACUAAUAAUGCAUCAAACUUCACAAGUAUUAACACUAUCAAACCAAUACAUGUGAAACUGCCAAAUAACAUCACUAUGAUUGCUCAAUACUCAGGAACUAUUCACCUAACUCAUGUUCUUUCCCUUUAUGAUGUUCUAUACUUACCUAGUUUUAAAUACAAUUUGAUAUCUAUUUACAAACUUGCUUGCUCCUUAAGAUGCAGGUUUGUUUUUUAUAAGAACCUUUGUUUGAUUCAGGAUAUGACUUCCUCGAAGACGAUUGGUCAUGCUGAAUAGAAAUCAUAAGACUACUUCACAUGUAAUAGGAUCUGUUAAUAAGUACAAUAAUCAUAAAUUUGAUGUUUGGCAUUUUAGAUUGGGCCAUCCCUCUUUGCAUGUUUUACAAAGCAUGAAUAAAAUCUUUCAUUUUGUGAAGUUUGACUCCAAUCUUGUUUGUGAUAUAUGCCACACUACUAAACAAACUAAGCUUUCUUUUCCUAAGAGUACAUCUCAUAGUUCACAACCUUUUGACCUCAUACAUAUGGACAUUUGGGGGGCCCUUAGCCUUCCCACCAUCCAUGGUCAGAAAUACUUCUUGACCAUUGUAGAUGACUUCAGUAGAUAUACAUGGAUUCAUCUUAUGACUAACAAGGGAGAGGCAAGAAAACUGGUCCAUAACUUUUUUCAACUAGCCAAUACUCAAUACAACAAAAGAAUCAAAGCCAUUAGAACUGAUAAUGGCUUGGAAUUCAUACAACCUGAGUUUUAUGCUAGUCUUGUUGUCAUACACCAAAGAUCUUGUGUUGAAACACCUCAACAGAACUAAGUGGUCGAGAGAAAACACAAACAUAUUAUGAACGUUGCUAGAUCUCUGCUCUUUCAAUUCAAUAUACCAAAAGAAAAUUGGGGUCAUGCUGUCAUUCAUUUUGUUUUCUUGAUCAACAGGUUACCCACUCCUGUUCUCAAUUUUAAGUGUCCUUAUGAGGCCCUAUUACAUAAAAAACCUAAUCUCAGUAAUCUUAGAGUGUUUGGUUGCCUUGCCUAUGCCUCUACCCUCACCAACAAUAGGACUAAACUUGAUCCAAGAGCCACCAAGUGCUUAUUCCUUGGAUACACUGAUGGGACCAAAGGUUUCCUCUUAUAUGAUAUGCAUCUGAAGAACAUUUUCUUGUCUCGAAAUGUAAUGUUCCAUGAGCAUGUCUUUCCAUGCCAUGAUACACAAUGCAUACACAAGCACACUUUUGACACUACUGAAAUUGUGGAAUCCUCCCCAUCCCCUGCCUCACAACCUCUCCUUGACUAUCCAUUCAUCAAUGAGACCACCAACACUGCACCUUCCCAUACUGACCAUAAUUCCCUACACAACUCACCUAUGCCACCAUCCUCACCCAUCCAUACUGAGAUCACACCAAGAAGAUCCCUUAGACCUUCACAUCCUUCUAGAUACCUUCAGGACUAUCACUGCAAUUAUUUAGCUUCUGUGCCCAUCACACAAAAUUCUACCAUCAAGCACCCCCUUAACAAUGUCCUAUGCUACAAGCACUUAUCCACUACACAACUCCAUCACAUACUAUCCAUCACCUCUCACAUUGAGCCUAUGACAUACAAUAGAUACAUCAAGUCUACUGAUUGGAUUAAGGCUAUAAACACUAAGUUACAAGCCCUGCAUCUAAAUAACACUUGAACCCUUGUCACUCUUCCACCCAACAAAACUGCCAUUGGGUGCAAAUGGGUUUAUAAACUCAAAUACAAUGAUGAUGGCAGCAUUGAAAGACACAAGGCACGCCUUGUUGGAAAAGGGUAUAAUCAAAUAGAGGGAUUGGAUUAUAAUGAGACUUUUGCCCCUGUAAUCAAGCUUACUACCAUCAGAUUACUCCUGGCUCUUGCUGCCAUGAAAGGAUGGACAUUGCAUCAACUUGAUGUCAAUAAUGCCUUACUCCAUGGAGACCUUAAUGAGGUUGUUUACAUGACCUUACCCACUGGUGUUCACAACUCUAAACCCAACCAAGUCUGCCAAUUAAACAAAUCACUAUACGGCUUGAAACAAGCUAGUAGGCAGUGGUUUGCCAAGCUAUCCAACUCUCUUCAUUACUUAGGUUACAAGCAAUCCCAACAUGAUCAUUCCCUCUUUACUAAAACACAUGAUACCCAUUUCACUGCCCUGUUAAUCUAUGUUGAUGAUCUAAUCUUAGCAGGGGAUGAUUUGACUGAAAUACAAUCUGUAAAGACCCAUCUUGACACUCAGUUUAAAAUCAAGGACUUAGCCACAUUAAAAUACUUCCUAGGCCUUGAGGUAGCCCGGUCCAAAUUAGGAAUAACCUUGUGCUAGAGAAAAUAUGCCUUAGAUCUUCUCAAUGACACUGGUUUCCUCACUUCUAAACUAGUUCCCACACCUAUGGUUAAAAACACCCAUCUACAUCAGCAAGACAGUGAUCCAUUCCAUGAUCCCCUCUUGUACAGACAACUAAUUGGCAGAUUGCUUUACCUAACAAACACACGACCUGAUUUAAACUUUGCCAUACAACAACUCACCCACUUCAUGGCUGCUUCUACUGUUAACCACUAUAAAGCCAUGACUCAAAUACUUAGAUACAUCAAAGGCACCCCUGGACAAGGAUUGUUCUACCCUACCACCUCUGUUUUGCAAAUAAAAGGAUUUUCUUAUUCUGAUUGGGCCUCUUGCCCUGAUACCAGAAAAUCUAUUUCAGGGUACUCCAUGUUCUUAGGAGAUGCCCUUGUUUCUUAGAAAUCCAAGAAACAAAACACCGUUUCUAGAUCAUCCUCAGAAGUUGAGUAUCGUGCCCUUGCUAUUGCUUCUUGUGAGAUUCAAUGGCUAACUUACUUGCUCACUGAUUUCCAUAUUGAUUACAAACACCCUGCUCUCUUAUAUUGUGAUAAUAAUUCGACUAGAUAUAUUGCUGCUAAUGCUGUUUUCCAUGAGCGUACUAAUCAUAUAGAAAUAGAUUGCCAUGUUGUUAGGGAAAGGUUACAAAACAAACUCUUCCACCUCCUGCCUAUUUCCACUUCAAAGCAGGUUGCUGAUCUCUUAACAAAACCAUUAGAACCUGCACCUUUUUCUUAUUUGUUGGGCAAGCUGGGUAUACUUAACAUAUAUUCUCCAGCUUGAAGGGGGGUAUUAACCUCACCCCUCUCUAUGAUUGUAUUAUUACUACUCUAAUUGUUUCUGCUUAAGCUUUCUGAUUCUUCUAUUAUGUUUACAUAUUAUGUUUACAUGUCUCAUUGCAUUUUAUAUCUUAGCCUAUGCCUUUAGUGCAUGAGGAAGCCUUAUAAUAUUGCAGGCUCUAGCUCGCGAUGAAGAUAGGGAGACUAGGAUCAUUGCACACAAGAAUACAACACAUAAAUUUGCCUGCUGCCUCCAUACAUUGAGGCUGCAAGUUGCUCUGCCUGCAUACAUUGAGGCUGCAAGUUGCUCUAUUUUUCAACUUCAACCUGAUCAUAUCAAGCCAUUCUUGAUUCAUUUUGUAUAAGUGGUUUAGCAACAGAACUCUUAGCCUUUUUGGCACGUGAUUAAUAUGUUUAGUGUGUUAGUUAUUAGUUAGUUUGCUUGUCAAGAAGUUGUUUUUCUGUUACUUCUUUUCCAAGCAAACUUCAUUCGGUUAGCAAGCUAUAAAUAUAAAUGCUUGUUGGUUUUGUAAACACACUUUGAAUAAUCAAUACAAUUCAAUACAUUUUUACAUUCUCUUCUCAUUAUGAAGUCUUUUAUGGUAUCAGAGCUCUCCAAGUGAGAGCUCUGCUGCUAAAUCAUUUACACAUCUCCAUCUUCUUGCCAAUUCUUCACAUCUUGUUCACAAGAAAACUCACAAACAUGGACGCUGAAUCAGAUCAAACACAUCAUACAUACCAAAAUCCAUAUGCAACACAAAAUCCCUAUUACUUACAUCCUGGUGAAAAUCCAGGCAUUACUUUGGUAUCUCCUCCCCUUGAUGGAGGAAACUACCAAUCAUGGUCAAGAUCAAUGAAAAGGGCACUCAGUUCGAAGAAUAAGUUCAAGUUUUUUAAUGGAACAAUACAAGUUCCUCAUCAAUCAGACCAGAUGUAUGAUUCUUGGGAGAGGUGCAACAACAUGGUGAUAUCUUGGAUCACAAGAUCACUAACACAGCAGAUUGCUCAAAGCAUCGUGUAUAUAGAAAAUGCACAAGAAUUAUGGGAUGAUCAGAAUUAGUACUCGUUUUAUAGAUCGUGUAUAUAGAAAAUGCACAAGAAAAUGCACUAAUGAUCAGAAUAAGUGUAAAGAGUAAUAAUCAGGCGCUUCAGUUGCAAUCACAGAAUUGAUGCUUCAGCUACAACCAGCAAUUAGGAGAGGUAAACCAGAAAGUCUUUCAGUUAAAACAAUAAUCAGUAUAAAUGAAUGAUCUUAAUGGGGUAGUUGAGAUGAUGGAAUGAUUAAAGUCAGAAAACGUUUCUGACUCUAAUGAGCAACCUAAAAGUUUUUCACAUCGGGACACAACCAGUAUAAAAUGACAUGAAUCAGAAUAUGCAAAGGAAAGAGAUUACAUAUACAUUACAACACAGAAAAAUAAGAGAAACAGACUACAACACAAAGAGAGAGGGAGAACAUACUAAUAGGGGGAUAUACACAUACGCAUACACAACCAUAAGAAAAAUCAAAGAGGAAACAUAAACACAUAGGAUACGCAAUCAAAGAACGCACAUACUUUGCAAUAGAGAACAUAUAAUCCAAAGGCAUACACAGGGAGAAAAAUCAGUGAGCACAUUAAGUUCACACUUCAUAACAAUUAGAGACGCACCUACACAUAUAUUGUGAAAUCAGAACAUCAUAGACCACAUAUCACUAUACACAAGAAUAUCACACGCAACAGGACACGAUACAAAGAAAUCAGAGAUAUCAUAUCUACCCAGAAAAGAGUAUCGACAGUAAAGAUCAAGAAGGAAACUGAGAAUGGAUUCUUGAGACAAAAAUCAAGGAUCAACUAGAAACAAGAAGUCGACAUCUAAAGGGUAAAUCUCAGGUAAGCUACUCAUCCUAUAAAUAUUUACAAACAGAAUGCAUUUUAUUCACUAAAUGUUCUGAAUACCAAAGAAGAUAGGUAUCAUAUAGUCAUAACUAUAACAUAGAUCAAGAAACAAUAGCGCACAUGGUUUAGAAAUUUGAGUUCAACUCCCCAUGUAAUUACAACAUAAGAAAUGGAAAAGAUAAUUAAAAAAAUUCAAUAGAAUAAAGAAAGGGGUGAUAACCGUGCUCACCCUUGCAUCGGCAAAUUUGGUGGAAUGUUGUUGCCUCCUUUAUUCACGGUUACCGUCGGUCAAGUGGGGGAGAAUAGAAACCCGAACCACCGCCUUGCGGUGACAUUACCGUCGCUCCGCGAGUGAGUAGGAGAAGGAGAUGAUUUAGGGAUUCCAUUCCCUUUUGGCCUCCUUCACGUGACUUAGGGAUUUUUUCCCUCUUUCAACCUCAUUCACGUUUGGUCUGAGUGUUUAAAGUAAUCCUUUUUUUG
rnacentral:lncRNA from 1 species